ACUACCCCAGCAAUGCAAAUGGUGACCAGGAAGGUUGAUCAGAGGGCUACCUGAAUUUGGUUAAAUUAAAUACCAGGUUAUCUUCCAGAUAUUCUGUUUAAAACAUUUGUUUUUCAAGAAAGUUUAGUGUCUGGGAUAUUAAGUUUGAAAUGGGUACAGAGACUUUCCAUGUAGAAGCAACUGGCAGAGUGAAAGGAGUCAAGGAGUUCACCUAUCCCAGCUUACAAGGCCAGGCAUGAGCUGGAAGAACCCCUGAAUUUGUAUGGUGUGAAACUCCCUUUCAGGUUUCAUAAGCAAGACGAACACAUUUGACUGAAAUACAGUGGGAAUAACAGGUUGGGCCGCUUUUCUUACCUG